CCUACGGGGGGCAGCAGUGGGGAAUAUUGCACAAUGGGCGAAAGCCUGAUGCAGCAACGCCGCGUGAGCGAUGAAGGCCUUCGGGUCGUAAAGCUCUGUCCUUGGGGAAGAAACAAAUGACGGUACCCAAGGAGGAAGCCCCGGCUAACUACGUGCCAGCAGCCGCGGUAAUACGUAGGGGGCAAGCGUUAUCCGGAAUUAUUGGGCGUAAAGAGUACGUAGGUGGUCUUUUAAGCGCAGGGUUUAAGGCAAUGGCUUAACCAUUGUUCGCCCUGUGAACUGGAAGACUUGAGUGUAGGAGAGGAAAGUGGAAUUCCUAGUGUAGCGGUGAAAUGCGUAGAUAUUAGGAGGAACAUCAGUGGCGAAGGCGACUUUCUGGACUAUUACUGACACUGAGGUACGAAAGCGUGGGGAGCAAACAGGAUUAGAUACCCCAGUAGUC
rnacentral:rRNA from 1 species